UACGGAGGAUCCAAGCGUUAUCCGGAUUUAUUGGGUUUAAAGGGUGCGUAGGCGGAUUGAUAAGUUAGAGGUGAAAUGUCCGAGCUCAACUCGGGAACUGCCUCUAAUACUGUUGAUCUAGAGAGUAGAUGCGGUAGGCGGAAUGUAUGGUGUAGCGGUGAAAUGCAUAGAUAUCACGCAGAACUCCGAUUGCGAAGGCAGCAUACCGGCGCCCUACUGACGCUGAGGCACGAAAGCGUGGGUAUCGAACAGG
rnacentral:rRNA from 1 species